GCCCCUAUAGCUCAGUGGAUAGAGCACUGCCCUCCGGAGGCAGGGGCCUGCGUUCGAAUCGCAGUAGGGGCA
rnacentral:tRNA from 1 species